rnacentral:rRNA from 1 species
UUCUGUAGCAAUACAGGGUGUGGGCGCGUGGCGAACGGGUGCGUAACACGUGGAUAACCUUCCUUCAGGUGGGGAAUAACCCAGUGAAAAUUGGGCUAAUACCGCAUAACAUCGCGAUGGCACAUGCUGUUGCGUUCAAAGGCGCAAGUCGCCAGAAGAGGGAUCCGCGGCCGAUUAGCUUGUUGGCGGGGUAACGGCCCACCAAGGCUUUGAUCGGUAGCCGGACUGAGAGGUUGGCCGGCCACACUGGAACUGAGACACGGUCCAGACUCCUACGGGAGGCAGCAGUGGGGAAUCUUGCACAAUGGACGAAAGUCUGAUGCAGCAACGCCGCGUGGGGGAUGAAGCUUCUCGGAGUGUAAACCCCUUUCGACCCGGACGAAUGCCCGCAAGGGUUUGACGGUACGGGUAUAAGAAGCCCCGGCUAACUACGUGCCAGCAGCCGCGGUAAUACGUAGGGGGCCAGCGUUGCUCGGAAUUACUGGGCGUAAAGGGUCCGUAGGCGGUGCGGCAAGUCGAUAGUGAAAUCUCUGGGCUUAACCCAGAGGCUGCUAACGAAACUGCCGUGCUAGAGUGUGAGAGAGGCGAGUGGAAUUACGGGUGUAGCGGUGAAAUGCGUAGAUAUCCGUAGGAACAUCCGAGGCGAAAGCGGCUCGCUGGAUCACAACUGACGCUGAGGGACGAAAGCUAGGGGAGCAAACAGGAUUAGAUACCCUGGUAGUCCUAGCCCUAAACCAUCAGGACUUGGGGUUUGCCCUGUACGGGGCAAGUCCCGUAGCUAACGCGUUAAGUCCUGCGCCUGGGGAGUACGGUCGCAAGGCUGAAACUC